UCCCGCGCCGCCGUGGUGGACAAGGGAAAGCGCCACCAUGGUCGACGAGGGCGAGCGCACCGAGGUCAUGGAGGGCGAGCGCCGUUGAGGUCACGGACGAGUCGAGCGCCGGCGUGGUGGUGGAGGCCUCACAAUAAGCACCAUGGCAGGACUGCCGACGCCGUGCUGCUGAUGGGCCACACCUCCGCACACGAGCAGAAGCGGCCCAUGCGUCGGCGAAGGAUACGCCGACGGAGCUGGGUUGGAUGUUUACUAGACUCAUCUGGAUGAGCAUCGCAUGAUGAGAUUUUUGUGACCAUCGGCAAAGAUGAGUGAGCAGCUGGUGGAUCGAGAGGGGCUCGAUGACCGCACCUGCCGUAUCGCCGCCACGCCCCUGCAUCACGAAGGAUCGUCCCCUUCUGCCUCCUACACGUGAAGGGAGCCCCUGAAGAUGACCUCAAUCUCUAUCUAGCUGCGUGCUCCCUGAGCUAAUCAUGAUCAUAAAAUUAAUUGGUGCCGUCCGAGCUGAGAACAAGGAUUGACAGUUCUGUAGUUUUAACCCAAUCCUGGCAGAACUUAUAUGAUAUGCUUGGACAGCGGAGUGUGAUGAUUUUUUUGGUGAGGGAGAGGGCAGGCAGUGCAAGAGGCAAGGAGAGCAAAAGGAACAGUCGAGAAGCUAGGGAGGAUAACGGUGACAGGCACAAAAAGAGCAGCUCUUGAGUUCUCCAAUUUUGUUGAUAUAAUUUUGUAAUCUAAGACUAUGAUAUGUAAAUAAAUUCUGUUAGCUCCGUAUACACAAGUUAUGUCAAAUAAAGUUUUGCUAGGUUUUGUUUUUUUCUGGAUGUUGUGUUGACAUAGAAGGAUUCAAAGGAGAUACAUUUAAAAGAGAAGGACAGGAGCACGGCAAGAUACCAGAUGCAGUGACAUCCAUGUUUCGGCGAGGGAAGGAGCAACUGAUAACUGGGUGACAUCCAUGUUUCGGCAAGGGAAGGAGCAACUGAUAACUAGGUGACAUCCAUGUUUCGGCGAGGGCACGCUCACUAAAUUGUAUAUGAAGAUAACUGGGUGACAUCCAUGUUUUGGCGAGGGAAGGAGCAACUGAUAACAUAAUAUAGCACCUUUCUGCU